rnacentral:lncRNA from 1 species
CACAGUCAUCCUGCCCCACCCUUCCACCCUCAGUAACUUGUGGGCAGCACCCCAUACCUUAGAAUGUUUGAGUGACCCUGUGACCAACCGGGGGCUGGAAAUACUAGGACUUCCUAAAUGAGUAAAGUAUUGACCCUAGGGCUUGCUCUCCAGCUAACACCUGUCCUUCCUAGGUGCCGUGGCCUGUGGUUAUGGCUUCACCUUUCCGCACAGUCAAGGAGGCACUGGCCCUGGCCAAUGGAACACCCCGGGGAGGCAGCGCCAGUGUGUGGAGUGAGAGGCUAGGGCAGGCCCUGGAGCUGGGCUAUGGGUUAGUUGGUACUUACUCACCUGCCUAUGCCCUGUCUCCCACUCAGGUGUCUCCCUCCCCCUUACCCAGCUUUCCAUCCCCUCCCCUGGUGUCUUUUCCUGCCUCCUAGGCUCCAGGUAGGCACAGUAUGGAUCAAUGCUCAUGGCCUCCGAGACCCUGCGGUGCCUACAGGUGGCUGCAAGGAGAGUGGGUCUUCCUGGCAUGGAGGGCCAGAUGUGAGUGCCCAUCGCCUCUUUGUCUCUUGACACCUCAUACCCUCACCUAAUACCUCUCACCUAGUACCCCUCACCUAGUACUACCUGGCCUCCUGGUGACCACACACCUUUCACAGGGCCUAUAUGAGUACCUACAGCUCCUGGGAACACCUUACCGGGAGUCCUUCCUUUGUGAGAGUCUCAACUAUGACACAUUUGGCCUUGCUGUGUCCUCCAGCCUGCCGUCUGGGCCAGAAACAGGGCCAAGGUGAGCUGUUGAGGUCUGGCAGCCUAAGGGUGAGAGGGAGGGGCCGAGGGAGGAGGAGGUUACAGCCAGUCUCGGGGUCUCGGUUCUUAGUGCAGCUUUCUGGAUCCUAACCCCA